GACGAACGCUGGCGGCGUGCUUAACACAUGCAAGUCGAACGGAAAGGCCCUGCUUUUGUGGGGUGCUCGAGUGGCGAACGGGUGAGUAACACGUGAGUAACCUGCCCUUGACUUUGGGAUAACUUCAGGAAACUGGGGCUAAUACCGGAUAGGAGCUCCUGCUGCAUGGUGGGGGUUGGAAAGUUUCGGCGGUUGGGGAUGGACUCGCGGCUUAUCAGCUUGUUGGUGGGGUAGUGGCUUACCAAGGCUUUGACGGGUAGCCGGCCUGAGAGGGUGACCGGCCACAUUGGGACUGAGAUACGGCCCAGACUCCUACGGGAGGCAGCAGUGGGGAAUAUUGCACAAUGGGCGGAAGCCUGAUGCAGCAACGCCGCGUGCGGGAUGACGGCCUUCGGGUUGUAAACCGCUUUCGCCUGUGACGAAGCGUGAGUGACGGUAAUGGGUAAAGAAGCACCGGCUAACUACGUGCCAGCAGCCGCGGUGAUACGUAGGGUGCGAGCGUUGUCCGGAUUUAUUGGGCGUAAAGGGCUCGUAGGUGGUUGAUCGCGUCGGAAGUGUAAUCUUGGGGCUUAACCCUGAGCGUGCUUUCGAUACGGGUUGACUUGAGGAAGGUAGGGGAGAAAUGGAAUUCCUGGUGGAGCGGUGGAAUGCGCAGAUAUCAGGAGGAACACCAGUGGCGAAGGCGGUUCUCUGGGCCUUUCCUGACGCUGAGGAGCGAAAGCGUGGGGAGCGAACAGGCUUAGAUACCCUGGUAGUCCACGCUGUAAACGGUGGGUACUAGGUGUGGGGUCCAUUCCACGGGUUCCGUGCCGUAGCUAACGCUUUAAGUACCCCGCCUGGGGAGUACGGCCGCAAGGCUAAAACCCAAAGGAAUUGACGGGGCCCCGCACAAGCGGCGGAGCAUGCGGAUUAAUUCGAUGCAACGCGUAGAACCUUACCUGGGUUUGACAUGGAUCGGGAGUGCUCAGAGAUGGGUGUGCCUCUUUUGGGGUCGGUUCACAGGUGGUGCAUGGCUGUCGUCAGCUCGUGUCGUGAGAUGUUGGGUUAAGUCCCGCAACGAGCGCAACCCUUGUUCACUGUUGCCAGCACGUUAUGGUGGGGACUCAGUGGAGACCGCCGGGGUCAACUCGGAGGAAGGUGGGGAUGACGUCAAGUCAUCAUGCCCCUUAUGUCCAGGGCUUCACGCAUGCUACAAUGGCUGGUACAGAGAGUGGCGAGCCUGUGAGGGUGAGCGAAUCUCGGAAAGCCGGUCUCAGUUCGGAUUGGGGUCUGCAACUCGACCUCAUGAAGUCGGAGUCGCUAGUAAUCGCAGAUCAGCAACGCUGCGGUGAAUACGUUCCCGGGGCU
rnacentral:rRNA from 1 species